ACAAUGGAGAGUUUGAUCCUGGCUCAGGAUGAACGCUAGCGGCAGGCCUAAUACAUGCAAGUCGAACGAUACUCUCU
rnacentral:ncRNA from 1 species